rnacentral:rRNA from 1 species
UACGGGGGGAGCAAGCGUUGUUCGGAUUUACUGGGCGUAAAGGGCGCGUAGGCGGCGUGACAAGUCACUUGUGAAAUCUCCGGGCUUAACUCGGAACGGUCAAGUGAUACUGUCGUGCUAGAGUACAGAAGGGGCAACUGGAAUUCUCGGUGUAGCGGUGAAAUGCGUAGAUAUCGGGAGGAAUACCAGUGGCGAAGGCGGGUCUCUGGACAGUUCCUGACGCUGAGGCACGAAGGUCAGGGGAGCAAACGGG